rnacentral:tRNA from 1 species
CCAUAGCUUAGCGGAUAAAGUGUUCGGCUACGAACCGAAAGACCGGGGGUUCGAAUCCCUUUGG